UUAACACUGGGAGUAGUGCUUUCUCUUAUUGAGAAAAAAAAAACACCUCUGUUUGCAUCUGUAGACAAAGAUCUGUUCAGAAUGGUUGGCUUUGUGAGAUCCAUUAUGAAGGUUGUCAAAGGAGAAGAAUCCAUCAUGAUUUCAAAGGAAAUCAAAGAACAUGACAAGCUACAGUAUUAAUCUCCUGAUUCUUUUUGAGUUUUAAGAAUAAACUGACAGCUUGAGUUAGAAGUAAUCAUAUUUAAAUAUUCUGUGUGUGUGGG
rnacentral:lncRNA from 1 species